rnacentral:lncRNA from 13 species
AGGGCAAAAACUGACUUCAACUUUCCCAAUAUGUCAUUGUCCUUCCUUUAUCAGACAUUCAAGUGGCUGUGGUCAUAGCCCCUUUGCAAGGUAGUGGAGCCACAGACAAGUUCUGGCCAAUGAAAUAUGAGCAUAAGUCACCAGUGCCAUUCCAUGACUGAGGCAGAAAAAGUGGCCCCAGAGAGGUAACUGUACUCUAGAAUGAAGUCUGCAUGGAGCAAGCUAUCAAUUUAUGUUGUAUACACUCAACCACAGAUCCUAUUAACUGGCAACCUGAAGGUUUAUGCACCUUGAGGACUGCUGAACACCUUGACACAGCUAGCUCGUGCAUCUAAGAGAUUGACUGAGGCAGCAGCUUUGAAAUACUUCUUCAACUACUGCAAAGACUGCAAGAUAUCCAUUAAAGCACAAUUUACUUCAUCAGCAAGCCUUCUGCAAG